AUGAGAAAGAGGGGGAGUAGGAGCAGGAGCUGGGAGGAGCAGGAGGAGGAGCAGGAGCAGUUGGAGGAGGAGCUGGAGAAGAAGGAGCAACUGGAGGAAGAUGAGGAGGAGCAGCUGGAGGAGGAGGAGCUGGGGAGGAGCAUCUAGAGGAGGAGUGGGAGGAGGAGUAGCUGGAGGAGAAGGAAGGAGCUGGAGGAAGAGGAAGAGCAGGAGGAAGAGAAGCUGGAGAAGAAGGAGCAACUGGAGGAAGAUGAGGAGGAGCAGUUGGAGGAGCAGGAUCUGGGGGAGGAGCAGCUGGAGGAGCUGCUGGAGGAGCAGGAAGAAUGGGAGUGGGCACAGCUGGAGGAAGAGCUGGAGGAGAAGGAAUCCAAUGCAUCCAGAGCCAUGAGAAAGACUGGGACAGGGCCCAGGUGUGGAAUAGAGAACCUGGAGAUGGAAGAACCCCAGGAGCUGGUAGAGUAAAAAAGUCCUUCUUUCCCACGGUCCUUGGUGUGUCUGGGUGUGUGAGCAUCACUCUUCAUUCAAGUAAACACAACAUGAAGUUUAAAGCUGGGACCUCAAGUCUCCCCAGGAUCACCGCCAUACAACAUCUCUGUGUGAGUUGGGCUUCUUCACGUCAUGGCUACUGGGUUUCCAGGAGACGCACCCAAGAUGAGAGCCAGUAAAAGCUGCAUUGCCUUUCUCACUGUUCCUCAGAAGUUACAUAGCCUGACUCACUGUGAAGUCCAGGCUGCUCCUAAAUCUGUGACCCUUGUGCCUCAGCUUUCUGAGUGCUGGGAGGCAUCCUGAGCAGCCUCUGCCUUAUUCUCGUUGAUAGAAUUUAGUCAGUAAGGUAAACCCCACAUUCAAAGGGAAGGUUAUCAGACCAUAUCUCAAUGAAAAAGUGGCAAAGAAUUUGCAGCCAUGAUCUGCUCAUUGGUCUCCAACAAGCUACUUUAUGAAUCGUUUAGCUCAGUUCAGAUGUUUCCACAGUGUUCCGUUUCCCACAGCUAUUUUUUGCCACUUUCCUUUCACUAUUUCAUGGUGGCAAUCUGCAUAUUCAAAAUUGUAUUUCUCUCAAUAUUUUAUGGCUCCUGCAUAGUAAUCUUUAACGCCUCAAAUUUCUGGGUUAAAUUGUUCAAAAUAUUUUAAGGUUCGAAUUUGAAACUUAAGUUUGUCUUCCUGUCAAGUGAUUUCCUUAACACAAAUUUGAGGAAUAAUAUACACUCAAAGAACGGAAUUGUGGUCCAAAAUUAAAAAUAAAAAUAGACAUUCAAAAGCCA
rnacentral:lncRNA from 1 species